GGUCACUGCUAUUGGGAUUCGACUAAGUCAUGCGAGUCGAGAGGGUUCGGCCCUCGGCAGACGGCUCAGUAACACGUGGAUAAUCUGCCCUUAGGUGGAGGAUAACCUCGGGAAACUGAGAAUAAUACUCAAUAGAUCUAGGAUGCUGGAAUGCACUUAGAUUGAAAGUUCCGGCGCCUAAGGAUGAGUCUGCGGACUAUCAGGUAGUAGUCAGGGUAAAGGCCUGACUAGCCUACGACGGAUACGGGUUGUGUGAGCAAUAACCCGGAGACGAUAUCUGAGACACGAUAUCRGGCCCUACGGGGCGCAGCAGGCGCGAAACCUUCACAAUGUGCGAAAGCGCGAUGAGGGGAUCCCAAGUGCUUGCUCGUAAGAGUAAGCUGUUUUUAUGUCUAAAACGCAUAGAGAGUAAGGGCUGGGUAAGACGGGUGCCAGCCGCCGCGGUAAUACCUGCAGCUCAAGUGGUGACCGCUAUAUUGGGCCUAAAACAUUCGUAGCCGGUUUGGUAAAUGCCUGGGUAAAUCGUGUAGCUUAACUAUACGAAUUCCGGGUAGACUGCCAAACUUGAGACCGGGAGAAGCUAGAGGUACUCCUUGGGUAGAGGUGAAAUUCUGUAAUCCUAGGGGGACCACCAGUGGCGAAGGCGUCUAGCUAGAACGGGUUUGACGGUGAGGAAUGAAGCCCUGGGGCGCAAACCGGAUUAGAUACCCGGGUAGUCCGGGGUGUAAACGCUGCUUGCUUGAUGUUAGUUGGGCUCCGAGCCCAACUAGUGUCGGAGAGAAGUUGUUAAGCAAGCUGCCUGGGAAGUACGGUCGCAAGGCUGAAACUUAAAGGAAUUGGCGGGGGAGCACCACAAGGGGUGAAGCCUGCGGUUCA
rnacentral:rRNA from 1 species